rnacentral:rRNA from 1 species
CCUACGGGAGGCUGCAGUGAGGAAUAUUGGUCAAUGGGCGCGAGCCUGAACCAGCCAAGUAGCGUGAAGGAUGACUGCCCUACGGGUUGUAAACUUCUUUUAUAAAGGAAUAGAGUGAGGCACGUGUGCCUUUUUGUAUGUACUUUAUGCAUAAGGAUCGGCUAACUCCGUGCCAGCAGCCGCGGUAAUACGGAGGAUCUGAGCGUUAUCCGGAUUGAAUGGGUGUAAAGGGGGUGUAGAUGGGUUGGUAAGGCAGUUGUGAAAGUUUGCGGCUCAACCGUAAAAUUGCAAUUGAUACUGGCAGCCAUGAGUGCAGGUGAGGGAGGCGGAAUUCGUGGUGUAGCGGUGAAAUGCUUAGAUAUCACGAAGAACUCCGAUUGCGAAGGCAGCCUACUAAACUGCCACUGACAUUGAGGCUCGAAAGUGUGGGUAGCAAACAGGAUUAGAUACCCUUGUAGUC